AUGGGCUGUUUGGGAGGGAAGAGCCCAAACAUCUCCAAAGCGAAGGCGAGCCCAGGCCGUAGGAGCGACCUCAGCUUUGGAUGCCUGGUGUGGCGAACCACGGCCGGGCAAUGGGUCAGACCGGGAGGAGACGGGGAACGGAUGGAAUGGGAUCGGAUUGGAUCGGAUCGGGUCGGGUCGGGUCGGGUCGGGCCGGGGCCGGGUGGGGUCGACGCAAGCUGGGCGCGGGCUCGCAGUCCAGCUACGCAGAAAGUAACCCUGCGCCCGACGAGCGGGCUUCUGGGAACUUGGCAGACGCAGAUUAGAAAUACUCACCAGCGAGCAUCAUUGUUGUCUUUCUGGGAAUUCAUUCCCAUGAGAUCAGAACCUCUUCGAAAGAAGAAGGAGGUAGAUCCUAAAAAAGACCAAGCAGCAAAGGAGCGCUUGAAAAGAAGGAUCCGAAAACUGGAAAAAGCUAGUCAAGAGCUAAUUCCUAUUGAAGAUUUUAUUACCCCUCUAAAGUUCUUGGAUAAAGCAAGACAGCGGCCUCAGGUGGAGCUCACCUUUGAGGAGACUGAGAGGAGAGCUCUGCUUCUGAAGAAGUGGUCCUUGUACAAGCAGCAAGAGCAUAAGAUGGAGAGGGACACCAUCAGGGCCAUGCUAGAAGCCCAGCAGGAAGCUCUGGAGGAACUGCGACUCGAGUCCCCGAAGCUCCAUGCUGAGGCCAUCAAGCGGGAUCCCAACCUGUUCCCCUUUGAGAGGGAAGGGCCAUGUUACACACCACCGAUCCCUAACUACCAGCCCCCUGAAGGCAAGUACAGUGACGUCACCAAGGUGUACACACAAGUGGAGUUUAAGAGAUAGACUUGCAGGCUGCUUUCCUUAACAUGCUGCCCCUGAGAGUAGGAAUGACCAGGGUUCAAGUCUGCUUUCCACAGAAUCAGGCAUGCUGUUAAUAAAUACUGGUUUAAUCAAAA